GCGGCUGUAGCUCAGUGGUAGAGUACUUGCCUUGCACAUGUAAGGUCCUGGGUUCAAUUCUCAGCACCACA
rfam:Ictidomys tridecemlineatus contig014771, whole genome shotgun sequence.